UGGGGAAUUUUGGACAAUGGGGGCAACCCUGAUCCAGCCAUGCCGCGUGAGUGAAGAAGGCCUUCGGGUUGUAAAGCUCUUUCGGCGGGGACGAAACGGUCCGUGACAACACCACGGACUAAUGACAGUACUCGCAGAAGAAGCACCGGCUAACUACGUGCCAGCAGCCGCGGUAAUACGUAGGGUGCAGGCGUUAAUCGGAAUUACUGGGCGUAAAGCGUGCGCAGGCGGCUCCUUAAGUCAGAUGUGAAAUCCCCGGGCUUAACCUGGGAACUGCGUUUGAAACUGAGGGGCUAGAGUGUGGAAGAGGGGGGUGGAAUUCCAGGUGUAGCAGUGAAAUGCGUAGAGAUCUGGAGGAACACCGAUGGCGAAGGCAGCCCCCUGGGCUAACACUGACGCUCAUGCACGAAAGCGUGGGGAG
rnacentral:rRNA from 1 species